AGCAGCAGCAGCAAGCACAGCAGCAACAACAGCGUAGAGAUGGUAACCACCUCUUGAACGGCACAACUAAUGGGAUUGGUGGAAGCGACUCUCUCCUGAGACAGAAUACUGGAACUGCAAAUGCAUUGGCUACAAAGAUGUACGAGGAAAGAUUAGACGAUGCAGCUAUGAAGCAAAGGUUUAGUGAGAAUGUCAAUCAGCUUUUAGAUCCAAAUCAUGCAUCUGUGCUGAAAUCUGCAGCGGCAGCAUCAGCUGGGCAGCCCUCAGGGCAAAUGCUGCAUGGUACUGCUGGUAGCAUGUCCCCACAGGUUCAGGCACGUAGUCAGCAACUUCCAGGGUCUACACCAGACAUAAAGACUGAAAUCAAUCCGAUGCUUAAUCCCAGAGCUGCAGGUCCCGAAGGAUCUUUGAUUGGAAUACCUGGAUCAAAUCAAGCUGGCAACAAUUUGACUUUGAAAGGAUGGCCCCUCACUGGCUAUGAUCAGCUGAGGUCGUCAGGGCUUCUCCAGCAGCCAAAGUCUUUUAUGCAGGGUUCGCAGCCCUUCCAUCAACUGCAAAUGCUAUCACCACAACACCAGCAACAACUUAUCUUAGCACAGCAGAAUUUGACUUCAACAUCUGCUAACGACGUCGAAAGCAGAAGGCUACGGAUGCUCCUUAGUAAUCGGAACUCUAGUAUGGGCAAGGAUGGCCUUUCAAAUUCUGUUGGUGAUGUUGUCCCAAAUAUGAGUUCACCUUCACAGGGUCCUUGCCCUGUUUUGCCCCGUGGAGAUCAAGAUAUUUUGCUCAAGUUGAG
rnacentral:misc_RNA from 1 species